ensembl:lncRNA
AUGCACGUCAUUUGAUAGGAAGUGAUUUCAGAAACAUGAGACUGUAGGAGUAUAGCUGGGGAUUCAUGAAAUGGGGGAGAGAGGGAAGAAAAAUUGAGUGCCAUGCAGUUACCACAUCUGCUCCUCUGACUGAGGCCUUUAAAAAUGAAGGCCUAUACCUUCUACAUAGAUUUGAAAUAAUCUGAGGUACCUGCCAGAAUGGUGAAAAUCUUGCUCAUGUUUUCACACCCUCAGAGUUACAAAGCAAAUGGCAUGCCAGAGAUUCCCUUCUUUCUGAUACUUCCUGGACAAGGAGCCUCUCAUACAAACAAGCGACCACUGAAAAAACAAUGUCACUAAUCAGUAAAAAGUGCAACGAGCCACAUGCAGCAGGGCAAUGCAUGUGCUCUGCAAAGUGCAGUUCUGGCUGGGGAGAGUUUGGUAGGUCUGGAGAGCCCAAAGAAUCCAAGCUGACAAACCUAAACGAAAGGAUUAUCUCCCACCUCCAAGACCUCAGCGCUAUAUUCAUCAAAUGCAUAAUUAUGCACAGAAUUAUAAAUUUAAGGAUUAAAUGUCACUCUUCACUCGAAGCUACUGUGUUUUGCCAUUCCUUGAAAAAGGACAGUGUCUCACAUUGAGCUGUACUUAAAGUUCAGUAGAUACUGAAAUUGGUAGAUAAUGAAAUAUUUUGCUGAAUCCUUCCCAUUUUUGGAAAGCAAUAAAUUUUGCUGUUUGGAUUAAUUAUUAUUGUGGGUUUUUUUUCUGCAGGAGAUUUGUUUCUACAGCCUCAGUGUCAUGAUACUGUUUUUCUCAUUUUCAGGAGAGAGUUCACAUUUAUCUGGAAAGUAGCUAGCAUUGGGACUAACGAGAAACAUCUGAGAAAUGCUGCUUUAUUAUUACAGUAGUGCCAAAAAACCUGAAACAAAAUAAACCAGAUUCUUUUUAGGGUAUGAACUAUUCUGCAUUAUAGGAGGUGCUCCACACUACUUUAACAGAGUCAGAGAAUCCAAACAGAUCAUCAUCUGCUUUUCUAUAUAUCUCAUUAUUUGUCAUUUGUGAGACAUCAGUUAGCUGCUGGUUUAUUUGAGAUGACCUUAAUAACCUACAGAAUAUAAUUUAAUUUAUUUUAAGUAAGUAAUUUUGCAAAAAAUGGUUCUGAAAUGAUAUGAGAGAUAAACUUUCCUUAGUCACUAAUGCAGUAUUUAAAAUGUUUGAGUGAUCAAAUCAGAAGAUAAAAAUAAUAAACAUUUGACUCCCAUGGCCAACCAAAAAAAGAACUUUUUGAAUAAUCCAGAGAUAGUUUUGUGACUUGUUUAACUAAUAUAAAGAACCAUAUUAAAAGGGGAGACUGUCAGUGUUCGAGAGACAUUUGGAUAAUGCGGUUUCACACUGACAGAGAUGCAAAAUCAAUGAAAUGUCUAAAAUUAUGAACAUUAAAAAUAAGAAAAACACUACUUUGUUAAUUUAGCAUAGAGAAAUUAGAAUAUUAUAUAAUUGAAAACAGGUUAUUUUAAAAGGAAUGAUCUUUACUAAUCUGUACUCAGCAUCACUUUCAAAUAGGUUUUAGGCCAGUCACUUUCCUUAUUCCAUUUAAAAAUUUAUAUUUUUAUAUUUUAUUCUUUUAUUUAUACCCCAGAAAUGCUUCUGUUCUCAAAUUAACUUGUUAAGGCUAAAAACAGAUGAAACAGGGAAAGUUUAAUCAGGUAAAUGAGUAGUUUUCAGUGCAAAAGCAACAAAGUUCCCAUUGAGUUCAGGAGAGAUUAUUCUUUCCAGAGGAAGAAGGACCACAAAGUUUGUACCCUGCUAGCCAGUUGUCUUCAUGAUAUAGGUAAGUACAAAAAGUGAUCUUUGAAUACGUCUUUAUUUAGGAAAAUGUCCAAGAUUUUGAAGUAAUUUAUGUAUUUAUUAAACUUACUAUUGGAUUCUCACAUUUACAGAACGCAGCAUUUUUCCUUCACCCAGGUUCAAACUUCGCUACCUCACACAAUAUGUAUGAGCAUAAAGGCUUUCUCUUGAGCAUUGCCUGAGGCCAUUAUUGUAUAUAACAAUUGGCUGAAGUCAAGUGGCUGUUGUGUGAUCCUCAUUCUUUCAGGAACUGUGUUUAACUUAUCUGGAAGACAAGGAAGACUUUUAUUUUACAUUGUCUAGUCUCUGAUGUCAUUGAUUUGUUAGUAGAGUGAAAUGCAAAAUGCUACCAAGCUCCAUCAACUGAGUGACAGUGUUGAUGAAAGGUUGUCCUGAUUUUAUUCUUCAUGUUGCACCAUCCACUACCCUUCCAGUGAUGAUUUGUCUGCACUAUCAUUUUAUACUGGCUGCAAUGCAAAACACAAGAAUACUGUUCUCAGUUCAUAGCUUGAGUGGAAAAAAAUCCUUUCCCUCAUGGAGUUUCCAUAUUAAAACUGGUAGAAAAGGAAACUCCUCCCAAUUUAAUUUCUAUGGAAUGUCUUGUCUGGCUGUACAGGACUUAAAAUGUAAACGAUGGCCAAAGUUAUGGUGAGAUUAAGCAAACUGAAAACAGGAGAUACAGAGAGAAAAAUAUCAAGGGGAGCUCAGCAAAACAGCCUAUUCACCAUGUUCUCAUCAAGAAGCUCUGCACAUGAACAUUGGGACUAUUCUUCAAAACAUCAAUUUUCAAUUAAAAAUCAAGGUAAGAUCCUGAAAGAUUCAGCAGAACAUAUCUUUCUGUAUGUUUUUCAUACAGCAGUAGAAAGUGAAAGAGUUGGGAAAUCAUUCAUAGCUGUUGCAAGUAGUCCAUACCCAAAGGGAUCAGCAAUAGUCUCACUGCCUAGAGCUUGAGCCAGAGUUGUACUUUAUUUCAUUCUUCACCUCCUCCAAAAAUGAGCCUCUUACUGAGCAACUGAGGAAUGUAACAAAGGCAAAGGUUUUGGAAUGAAUUUGAACUCUAAAGUUGCUUCCAACUCUGAAAAGCUCUUUAUUUCUUAUUAAAUUUAUGAGUUUUGGGGGAAUGGGCAGGAACAUUGUGCUCAGUAUGAGAAGGAGGAAAGAUGGAAAAAAUGUGCCACAGUCAGGUAUUAACAUAGCUCACUGUUCUGUUUCAUGUGCUUAAAACUAUGGCACUGUUGUCUGAUGCUGUGAAAUAAAAAUAUAGGCAUGAAGGUUUAAGGUAAGCUAACACACAGAAAGGAUGAUCGCAGAUGAAUUUUUACUCAGGAGAGCAAUACCAAUAGAAGGCAAUGGACCUGCUCAAGGAAUACAGUUACCCAUAAUGUUGUUUCUGUCACUGGACUCACAUAAUAGGGGUUCCCAUGUCAAAUAGGUGAUAGGACAGAAGCAUGCACACCAAGCAAUGACUGAUAGUGCUUAAUGAAGGCCAUGUGUAUUAGUAAGCCUGAGCACUGAGCACAGGAAAAGAGAGAUUUCUCCCUGCUUUUCUAAUGAUAUCUGAGAGCACGUUCUGUGUAAAGAAAUAUUUCUUUAGGAAAUAGCUGAUCAGAAUCCUUAGGAGAAAAAAAAAAAAAAAAAAAAAAAAAAAAAACACGACUUUUCCAUUACUUCUGUCUUAGGUUAAAGGCAGUUUUGAUUUCUGCUGUUUCCCCAGAUUUCUUUAAAAAAAUUUCCAGACAUUCCCAUGGUGCUAAACUCAGGCCAACAUCUUAUAACAUUUUUCUGAACUGUUUAUAUCCUAAAUAGAGUAUGUUUCAGUUCAAAGGGUUUAAACCAAUUACGUUACACUCCUAGCCAAUACUCAGGACAUACAGGAAAGUCUUCCUGCUUCUGGUAGGAACAGAUGCAAGUAUUACUGUGGGCUGAGAAAAAAGUCUCCAAGUGCUAAUAAGUUUUCAUAAGUUACUGAUGAAUAUGUUUAAGUUGCACAAUCUAAUCUGUACAAUUAGCUUAGAAUGAAAAUUAAUGAUCAGGAUUGGUAGUACAGAAAAGUAUGUUUGUCACUAUUUGUAGUUAAUUAUUAAAUACAAUUUGUAAUACUUAUUCCUGUAGAAUUGUCUGCUAAAACUUCAGGCCUAGUAAUAUAUUUUUAAAUUUUACUGUCAUUAUUUUAUUGCUCUAUCAACACAUACUUUUUAGAGAUGUGUCAUAGCACUACCAGGCAUUAGAUAUAAUUAAAUGAGGGGAAAAAGAAAAGCAAGUUAUUCCCAACAGCUUGUAUAUUAGAUAGCACAUCAACUUUCACUAGUAAAUGAGACAGCUUAUUUUGGUUGAGCAAAGCUAUGUACAAUAUUUAUAACCCUGCUACACAAGCAAUUUUAGCCUACCUGCUAAUAAAGAGAUCUUGAGGGAAUCCAAAAUCUCAUGUAGCAUAUUCUCAGAUGUAAGUGCCAUCAUUCUCAGAACUCCUUCAUCAGUAUUAAGAUAAAGUCUGGAAUUUGUUGUCUGCUUUUCAUACCAGAUUAAUCAAGCCCUGUCUCUAUUUAUUUCUAAGAGGUCCAAAAAUUUCAUACAAGAUCCUAUCUUAAAUCAGGAAUGAUAUGCAUUUGCUCUUCAAAUCAUUUUUUAUGGCUAGGAAUUCACACUUUUCCUGUCUAACACUUUGCAGAUAACAUGAGAAAAUUUCUAUGAAAAUAUCUCCAGACAGUAAAUACUGUAUCUUAUUAAUGUGACUAUUCAUAGAAUUUCAAUAGUUAACUUCUCAUUCAAUUAGGUGAUUUAUGUCACUUUCAGGAGUUAGAAAUAAAAUGCAUAUAGCAAAAAUAAGAGGAUGCAAUGGAUAUAAAAAUCUUUUAAAAAGAAAAUAAUUGUUGCAAAGAAAAGCUAAAUCAAAUAUGGUGAUUUUUAAUUUUCUGUUGCCAAAUGUAAGAAAAACAAUUGAAAAAAAUAACCUAAAUAUUCCUGUGGAAUACAAUGUUAGUCAAAAUAAAUCACACAGACAAGCAAGAACUGAUUCCCAAAGCAGUUUUGAAACUACUCUAUUCAAGCAUUUGGUCAUGUCAGUUUCAAUCUAUUUGCUACGUGAAGGUCCUAAUACCAUUUGGCUUGCAUGAUCUUGAUAUUAUCCCAAAUAAACAACUGCUCAAAUAUAUCAGUUAUUAAUCUGAUUUUUAGUUCUCUACAGUAAUUCCAAUCUGGGGAGGGGAGGUAUCCAGCUUCCUUUGUAAAGUGAACCUUCAAAAGCACACAGACUUGCUCUUUGGUGGACAAAUUACUACUUACUCAUUAGUAAAAGAAUAUAUUUACUAUAGAAUGCCUCAUUGAAAUAUUUUUUCAGAAAGUGUUUUUUUUAUGAAAAUAAAUAAUUUUGCCUGAAAUUCCUUCAUCUAGUGUGGGGGAAAAAAAGUUUAACUUCUGAACAGUGGCAUUUUAUGUCAUUAAUGGGAGAAUCUCCUCCUAACUGAGAUCCUAUGCCUUAAACUCUACUGGCAAGAUCUCUGGAAGCUUAUUCAUCAGAGCUAGAACUAGUUAGAGGGCAGCAAGGUACCUAAAAUUCACCUUUUGUGUGUUAAAUAUUUAUCUGCUGACAGUCCUAUGCCUAGUAGGGUGCAAUGCUCCCUACCAAAACUCAAACAGGAAUUUCUCUGAUUAGAUCUAUUCAUGAGAAAAGUCAGUAUUACUAUGAAUAGUCCAAGCAAGAAAUAUUAAAAUAAUGUUGAAAAAUGUUACUGCAGGAAAAAUUAUAUCUUGCUAGCAGCUAGCAUUCAUACAACCAAGUAAUGUCCAACUGACAUCUCUACUCUAAUCCUAAACUUCUAGUAUUCUAUACAAACUAUAUAUAGAAUGAACUACAAUUUUUUAAAGAAACAAACACAAUAAUGCCUCUCGUUAUACUUAAAAGAUAAAAUCAGUUUCUUGCAAAUGUAUUCUUCUAAUUGCUUAAUACCAUCACACUUUGCAGAGCAAGCAUUGUUUCUUCUCCUAAGUCCAUACCAGCUAUCAAAGGAAAGAUAACUUUAUAAGUAGGUUUAAUGCAGUUUUCUCCUUUGAGAACUGCUCUGAAUUUGUUUCUGUUUGUGUAAAUACUUUCAGAUGUCACUUAAAUAUGAAGCCUGAGAUAAACACGCUUUUCACUUUGUUAUGGUUCAAAACUAAUUAAUCAGACUUCUUAGCCAAAACCAGAUACUUUUAAUGAAGUGUCGUGUUGUUUGAGAGUGCGCCUGGAAGAGAGCUUGACUUUACCUUUUCUCUGAGUAACUGUUAAAUAUAACAACCAGCAUCCUAGACACUUGCCUGCAAGUGACUUUGCCUGUACUGAUGAAUGGAAAGUAUUAUUUGUUCUAACUGCUCCUUGCAGAUGCUUUCCCCGUGGUUUCACAGCUUGGUCAUAAGGCAAACCUUUUAAAUAUUUAUUUUAUAUUUUUACAGCUGUUUAAUUGGGGCUGUCCCUACUCUGGUAUUUAUUUGUGAUGUUUGUUUACUCAGAAGGCUUUUAGGUUUGUAGAUGCAAGGUUUUGCAUGACUGAAAGGGCCAGGUACAGUGUUUGUACAGUUGAUCACUGGGUAACCCUCCCAAAUGCUGCUGGAGACCACUGGGGUCAAGUGGUGAGAUCAGAGUUGAUGCUUUCCUUGGGACUACUUGCAGCAGCACAAGCUCAGUGGUGGUGGUGGUGGUGCCUUUUAAUGUCAAGUUAAAAUAUAAUUCUACUUUGUAAAGAUAAAAACUGUGAAGCAGAGAGUAACUCUCUUCCAGAAGUGUAUUUUGAGCAGAAUAGAACUGUUUAUUAGUGAGUGUGGCUAGGAAAAGCCAUGAUGGUUUACUAACAGAAAUUCAGUGUAUGGCUGCUCCCUUGCAGCCAAAAGUCACAAGUCAGACACCAAACAUCAUGGGGCUAAAAAAAGAAAAAAUACAUUCCUCCUCAAACAAUGAAUUUGAAACUCUACCUUGAUUUUAGAGGCUUUAGAGUUACAUGGGUUUUGAGUUUUAAUAUCUCUAGAUGAGGCAGCUAAGAGCAUGGUGCUGAUUCAGAGCACAAAUUUUGUCUGCUGUCCCCAGGAUGAGACAGCCUGAAUGCAACUAGCAGCCAGCUCUGUCUGAACAGUGAGGUCCUGAUGGAACCCCUAGAAAGCACAGCUGCACAGGCUGCCCAGCAUCCAAAGCACAGUGCUCGAGUCCAAGUACCACAGGCUGGGUGAUAGAGAUCUCUAAAGCUCACAGUUCUGCAGACCUAUGGGAGCAUUAACAAGAAAAGGUUUGAUGUUUAUCCUCAAACAUCAUAAAAUAUCUAGGAAAAAGUACACCAGUUACUGAAGACAUCUGAACACGCUGAGCAAUUUAAUCUGGCUAUGACCUUUUACAACUGUGAACAUUUGUGGCUCUAGACUGUUCAUAAGAAAAACUCAGUUGUGUAAAAUUCAACCUCCCCUUCCCCACUGCCUUAUGCAUUUCCUAUGACUAUUUUCUUCCACUUCUGUCUGUAUGGAUUUAAUGCAAUUCUACAUUAAAACACAGCUCGUGUGCUGUGCACGUGUGCACAACGUCAAGGCUAUGAGAGAGCAGAAAGCCCUUGUCCUUAAUGAGUAGGGCAUUCACACCCCUGGCCCUGAAUAAUAUAUGUGGUGAAUGACAUGAGUCUAAAUUUCUGUUUUCCUUUACUUGGAUCUAUUACUGUAGGCAUUUUUCCUUUCUAUCUUGUAGCCACCUUCUGUGCUUUCAUCUGAAUAUAACUUCAAGUAAUGGAUUCCACCAUGGAUUUUUUCCCCCUUUCUCCUUUUCAGUGUAGACAAAAGAGUUAAACAAGAAAAAAAAGAGUUCUGGGCAAAUCAAUGAAGUUGAGGUUAGUGACUUUGAAAAACAAAACCUCCUGUAGUACUGAUACUAGUGGGUAAUGGUAACUUACCAAUUUGUUUCUAUUCCCAUAGUAACUAUUCUAAGUACCAUGGUAACAAACCUAAACAAACAUAAAUAUUAUCUCUCCUUGGUCCCAAAAUUUUCACGUUUAAUGCUGUCCUAAUAAAUAGCUAGAUUAACAGUUCCCCAGCUAUUGUUAACAAAGACAUGCUACAAUAAAUAGAUUCUCAGUGUACCUAACAGUGUUCAAGCAGUUGUGGUGCUUAAUAAAUAGUAUGUAAUUAUAUAUACAUAAUUGCUUUUAUUUAGCAACAUAGGAACAUGUAACAGUAAGUAGCACAUGUCAGUGAAACAGCAUUCUACGGAGACAGGUUGGGUGAACUCACUGGCAUGGCUUAUCAGUCUGUUUGACAGUCUGAAAAGCUAGAGCUGUUUUCCACAUUCAUAUUACCUGUCAGAAGCAUAUUAUGUGAUUAACUUAUGAUUGUAAAGAAAAUAGAUGCCUUUAAAAAUGAUUAUUCUGAUGGAAUUCCAACUCAGAGCCCCUACAGACACUUAGUUCUUUUCUCCUUCAUCUGUUUCACAGUGUUCUGUACAUAUUUUGUUAUUUACCCAAAGUUCAAUUUUUGUUUGGUAGUUUGAUUAUGUCAUACUUUAAUUUUCUAAGACAAAUACACCCUGCUUCUGUUUGGAAACUGAGAACUGAGCUUUCCUGCAUGCACACCCUAAAGGCUCUGAGAGAAGAUGGAGCAGUUGCUUGCAGCAUGCAGCAGCCCAGUGAGAGCUGCCCACUCCUACAGUCUCAGCCCCCGCACAGAGUGUGCUGCACCACCUGCUCAGAGGCGUAGGGCAGCAGCUGCAGGCAGAUGCCAGCAUUUGUAGAGGCAGUUCAUCUCACAGGCGUGCUUUGCUCAGGAUUUUUCUGACCAGGUGACUUGCUAUUUAAACAAAGAGGAAGGCAUCCUUUAGAAGAGCAGCUUGAAAGCAAUAGUUCUCUCUCUUAUUCUUCCCUUAGAAAUCCACAGUGUGAAUGUAGCCAAAGAGACCUGGACGCACCCUAUUCUGUGUGGCUCUUGGAGCAUCUGCACUACAGAACAGUAAAGUCCACCUCCAUAUCUGAGCAGCUCUUGUCCUUUGCCAUAUUUCAGUCUGCCACUGGGGCUUGCUCACCUUUUCAGAGCAAGCACAGACCUUAGCACACAACCUUAGUGAGGGAUGACUUAUAAACUGUGCAAAUCUAUUUUCCUGGAUAAGAGUUUGACUGUUGUUUGACCCCAUUUCAUUCUAUGGGGAGACAACAACUCUCCUCUGGUAAUUUUCUGCUUCUUGUCUUUAGCAUUCCACCAAGGAGGUAAAGCCAGAGAACUAGAUAUUCACAGUGGGGAGUGGGAUCUGAGCUCUUGCAGAGAACUCAUACGCGCAACCAGAAGAGUUACACUCACUGAGGAAAAUAUUUCCUAGACUGAGCAAAGGGAAAGGAAAGAAAAGGCAAAUAUAUGCAGGCUCAUGUCAGCAACAUUUCCAAGAAGAUAGCUGAUACUACACAAACACAUCGGACCUCGAGUGUAGGCUUGUUUGGGUUGGAGGUCUAACGAAAAAGCUGUUCUCAGCUCUAGUCAGCUGCUCCUUGGCUUUGGGCACGACCACAGAUUUGCAUGACCUCAUCUCAUCUGGAAAACGCUUUGAGUUCUGGACAAAAACAGCUUUCAAAUGACAAGUUUUCUGCUUUGGAUUUAUACACUUCUUGCAAUGUCUGGUUCACCAAAUGCCAGCACAGUUACCUGUUACCUAUCUUGCUUGAGCCAAUUCAAAGCUAUUGGAGUUGCAAUGGGAAAUAAAUUUUAAAUGAGUCAAACUACUAUUUUUGUGCUCAUGUAUAUCAGUAUACAUGUUUGUGCUAAACUACUGACUGAACUCCUACAAAGGAUUUCAUGAGUACCUGGUGUGAGGGACUAAGGAAGACAGUCGGAUUGUUUGGUGCCCACUGACAGCACAAGAGGCAAUGGGCACAGAAUGAAACACACAAAGUUGCUUAUGAAUCCAAAAUAAGCUCUAUUUCACUCUGAGGCUGACAAACGCUCUAACAGUUGCCUAGAGAUGUUGUGGAGUCUCACCCUAUGGAGAUAUUCAAAAUCUGUCUGGACAUGGUCCUGGACAAUGUGCUGUAGGUGUCCCUGCUGAGGCGGAGGCUGGACUAGAGGAUCUCAAGGGGUCCCUUCCAACCACAGCCACACUGGGUUCUUUGAUACCUGAUAAACCCGGAAGUGAAUGAUUAACCUUCAGAGAGCCAACAUAUCUUUCAUUUUCAGUGGUCAAAUGCCAGGUAAAAAGCCUGUCAUUUGGUGAAUCACUGUGUAAAAUGUCUCAAUACUAUUUCUCAAUUUUUGACAGAGAAGCUGAAAUCCACUGGGAUUUUAAAGAGACAUAUUUGCACUGAAAAAAACAUAGAAGUGUCUCAAGAAAAUUAUUUUUCUUUCACAAGAUUCUUAAAUUGUUUCCCUCUUCAAAAGACAGGUAUCAUCACCUAAAACAUCUGCUCUUAGUGAAUGUUUUCAGAUUUAGAGUCAGAAAUUAUGUCUGGAAUGUCAGAAUUUCUCAAGAGUUGAUUUCAUCCCUUAGGGAUAAAAUUGGAGUGUCUACUUGCUUGUCUUUGAAGCCUGAAGCUCAGCUACUUCAGCAACACAACUUGAGACUGCACUUGGGAAACCUUCCCAUACGUUGCCAGUGUUUGCUCUCAUUACCAUUUAUCUCUGUUGGUGUUAGCUAGCACUUCAAGAAAAUUUCCAUGUCCAAACAUAAAAAAAAAAAAUCCUUUUCUCGAAUCUAAGUUAAUAGAUAUGAAGAUAAAAUCCCAAACACAUUAACCGAUAGCUAAUGUUCAGAUCACAUACAUGUCUGAAUUACUCACAUCAUUUUCUUCUGUAGUUGGAAAUUAAAAAAAAAAAAAAAAGUCAGGCGUCCUAGUUGCUGUCUCCAGAUAUCUACUAGAAAAACGCAUUCAGUUUGUUUCUUUCCAUUGCAAGCUGUCCUGUUUUCCUCGAAUCUAGACUACACAUGUAAGACAGUGCUCUGAGGAGCACAAAGAAUGAAACUGAAAUAUUUGUUAAACAACAUGCUUUAAAAUUAACCAGAAGAUCUGACAUUGCAGAAAUUAGUUCUCUGAGCUUAUCUUUCAGGAUCUUUAAGAGUUUAACUAUUAGUACAGUAGAAGCAAUUCACAUUUUACACCAUUUAGCCAUGAAGAAUUAAUUUGUAUUAGACUCCUGUAUACUGUCAAAUCAGUUAAAUGCAGUUAGUUCUGGAGAUUUUACUGUAAGUUGCUUCUAAAUCUAUUAACCAAAAAACUUCAUUGGAAAAACUUCCUGUCAGACGAUGCUAGCAGUCAGUGCUAUCUACAGAAAGUACUGUUCAGCACUACAAAUCAGUGAUCAAACUGACCUCAUCUAAGGAGCCCUUUCUUAUUCCAUUUUUUAACCCAGGUGCAUAGCCAGCAAGAAGUGAAAGACCCAGCCCUUCUUCAGUCACAAGCAGGUGAAAUACUGCUGAUAGAUAUGAAACAGCAAUGUAGUUCUAAAGCCUUUCAGCUAAAACCUGGACAAUUGAUGUUUCCAUAACUUCUGGGCAACAUCUCAGAUUCUCUCAUUCUUGCUUAAUUGCCCUGUAAACAUUUUAGUAUUGUGCCUGAGCAAUAUAGCCCACCAUUUGUUAUCUUUGUUGUGUCUUCUUCCUUUUAAAACAUUGAUUAGCCAUUAAUGCUCUUGCCCAAACUAUGUGAUAUCUGAAAAAUAAUUAACAUCCUCAAAAAACAAUCAACAAGCAUGAAAGUGAGAUAAAAUUCUCAAACUGUACUUCAUAAAGCGCUCGGGCACCAAAGAAUUAAGGUAGUUUGAACAUGGAGAACCUGUGGGACUGGCUAGGAGUGGAAAUCUUGAGACAGGUAUUGUAAUAUUCUUAUGGACUUUCAGGAAAAUUAAGAUGUUUCUGUUAGUCACCACAACCAGAAAUGCUAUGACAGAAAUUUGCCCUGAAUAGUAAAUUUUUAUAGUAGUGUUUCAAGGUACACAUUUGCAAUGCAUAACUUCAGUAUUUUUAUUUUCAGUCUCCUUGUUACUGAAGCUCCAAUAAGGAAGGUAGCCCUUCCUGUGUGCCAUUAUUUUCAUUAGCUAAAGAUUUCUACCUGUUGCCAAUUAAUCUGAGCCCUACGGAAACCAACGACAGGAGGGAGGAGGAACUGUUCUGCAGAACUUGCAGUUCACCGUGCCUGGGGCCCUGCUGCUGUGCCCCCACACUCUGCAGUCUCCCAUUGCACCACACCUCUCUGUUACUAGAGCAGCAACAACUAACAGUGGUCAGAAAUAUUCAUUCAGUAUUCAGCCGCUCAUUCUUGCAACUUUAUAAGAUCCAUCUGAAAGGUUUGGGGGAUGAUUAUCUAAGACAAAGAUGCAAUGCACUGUUCUGAAUGUUGGUUUGUAUUUUACGUACACACACUAUCACAGGAAGAUUCUUCUUUGUACCCACUGUACUACUGAGAACUAAAAGAACAAAAUGCUACUCUCUCUUACUUAAAACCAGAUGUCAAAAUGCCCUGUUGGCAGGAAAAGGAUGCAAUGAAACUUCACUCUACUGAGAAGGGACAAGAGGUUAUAGUCUGACCCCUUAUAGAGAUACAUGUUCACAUCACACCUACAUUUUACAAGAGCACUGAGAGAGUAUUUCAUGCUUGUCUCCCUCCUUCUUGCUUGGACCAGCAGCCAAGAGAAAAGCUGAGGCUCCUGGAUAUUGUGACAAUCUGGAAAAUAAUUGACUGUAGAAGGCAGAGGUCAGCUUUCAUUCACUGAGUCAAGGGCGAGGUUGGAAAUUUUUGGCCUUGUCAAGUUCAUAUUUUUUAAUACCCAUGGGAUUUGGUUUAUCCAAUAAGUAUUUCUUCCUGGCGAUGACUGCAGUCAUUCUAAUUGGUGCUGCAGUGAAGGGGCAGAAAGCAGCAGCUACAAGAGGGCUGCUUUCAUUGCAGGAGGCACAAUGACAGGCACAGUGUAAAAGCAAGCUCUGCCUCAGAGAUCUAGGCAGACAGGUCUAGGAACUAGCAUGCUAAAGCACCUAGAAUAAUAGCCACUUGCCUCUGGUGAGCCAAACGCAGAGCCUUGCAGACAAGGAACAAAAAAUGGAUAAUGCAAUCUUGGAUAUUAGUUUUCACUGCUGCUCGGCAGCUACAGCCCUGCAUUAGGACAUCUCGUACUUGAAUGAAAGCAAAAGAAGUAGUAAUCCUAUGAGGCAAACUCUCCCACUCAGUGCAAUGCUUCACCUCACACUGGGACAGCACCCUGCUUAUCACAUCAACAAAACCAAAACAAAAACAUAACUAAAAGAACAGUAGAUGUAGGUGAACACAUUGGCAUAUAUUGGAAACUUUCAUUUUUGCUUUUUGUUCUACUUUACAUUGAUGCUACAACCUACGUCCCUGCUGGGCUUUGAUCGUAGCUUUAGAUAAUUAUAUUAGUUGAGACAUUUUGUCAUACAGCAAACUGAAUGCAACUGCACUGAUAUUAGUAGAGAUUUGCCUGUUCUUCACAGUUAUUCAUUCUCCUCCCAAAUGAAAAUACAAACUGUCAUAUUAAUAUAAUAUAUAUAGUAUAUAUAUAUUAUUUUAUUUUAUUAUUAUUAUAUAUUUUAUUAUUAUUUAUGUAUAUUAUAUAUAUAUAUUUUUUUUUUUUUUAAGUAGAGGGAUACGCUGUUAACAGCUCUUUCAGAUUUAUUUCCUAGAACACAUUGGGAACUCCAUUUGCACCCUAGAAAGCAUAAGAAAGUGUGCUGGGUAGCAAAGAAGAAAUGAACUGUACUUUCAAUACAUUCUCCAGACCUAUCUUCCCACAGAAAUAAAACCUCAAGAUCAUUGCUAUAUUCAGCUGUAUUAUGAAUAUCCAAGAAACCAACAAAUACAGAAGACUCCUGGAUGACUACUGUUAUGCACAGGAUCAGAGAAAUCCAGAACAGGGAAGACUGCCUGAUGGUUAUCCUCCAGACUAGAAUUAAUCUUGGAUUGCCACAUAGGAACAAUCAUAAAAAUAUUAUUUUUCUUUGUCUUGUAUCAGUUCUAUUUGGUCUGGAAACAGUCAGAAGUUCUGGCAUGCCAAAAGAUUUACAAACCUAAUGAGUAAAUCCAGCUAGAAGCAAACUGGCUUUGAAAGGCUCCAGUAUUCUGCAGCUAUUGGUGUUUAGGGCACCAGAUUUGCUUUUUUAAAUGCUAUGGCAUGAGAUAAAAGCAGAUGACUAUUCUCAGCUAGCUAUAGUUUUUCCCAGACUUUUUGCACAGAUGACUAUACAAAUUCUUUAGCUAUCAGCACCUAAGCAUUCAAAUUCUUUUUGGCAACAGUAGCUCAAGUUAAAUUUCAGCUGUCAUUCUGCCUCGUCCCUGAUGGCUGGAGAGGCAUCUUGAUAGACCCACUCAUUUUCUGUAGCCUUAAACCUUGAGGAGGUGUAAAGAAAAAACCCAGCCUAACAGAGGUUUGUUUCUGCUUUGGCAUGUAGUUUAAAUUUAAUAUAUCAGAUAUUCAAUAACUUAUUUUCCAUACCACUGCUGGCACCAGCCUUGCUGCUGCUGCUGCUGCUUUUGUGUUUGUGCAGAGGUACCUUAGAAAUGCUCAGCUGCUCUGUAUUUAGCAAAGGUGAAGGAGGUGGCACGCAAAUUUUGCAGCCAAGAGUGCAACUUUCAGCCUGCAAGCAGCAGGGGGCCAACUUGAGUCUGCCCUUGGCACAAGCACAUGCUCAGUGUGCAUUCUCCCACUCAGCACACACAAACCGCAAGGAGAAAUUAUUUUGUUUUUCCAGCCACUUGCAUGGCUAUAUGGCUGCUCUGCCUGCCAUGCUGUGACAGAAACCAGCCCCAUGGCAGCCUGGGCUCCUGCAAGAGCAUCAGCAGAAGGGGCUCACUCCCAGCCACAGGGUUUGUAGAGAGAGCAUAGGGGCUGCACCUGCUGCUCCAGUUAUUGCUCUGGUAUUGGCACAAAGAAUUGGCAAAUGUUUG